rnacentral:misc_RNA from 1 species
AAAGUCGUAACAAGGUUUCCGUAGGUGAACCUGCGGAAGGAUCAUUAAUAAUAUUUUUACCAUCUUAUGGAAAAAUAAAAUCCAUAUUCACCUUGUGUGCAUUUAUUGAAUGUUUGCUUUUGGGAGUUGCAGAGUCUAAAUUUUAGUAUCUUGAGAGAUUGUGUUUCGCAUGAACUUGAGAUAUUGGAUUUUAGCGGAUCCGUAAGGAAUUAUCCGGCCUCCCAGAAGAUUUUUUUAAAACUCCAUUUUUAUUUGUAUUUAAAUAUUGUCUAAAAAAUAAAUAUCCUUUUAUCGGGUAUAAAGUUUAAAUUGAAAAACAACUUUCAACAACGGAUCUCUUGGUUCUC